GUCUUUUCGGAGACAUCCGAUAAAAUUGGAAUGAUAUAGAGAAGAUUAGCAUGGCCCCUGCACAAGGAUGACAUGCACAAAUCGAGAAAUGGUCCAAUUUUUU
rnacentral:snRNA from 1 species